AUUGAACGCUGGCGGCAUGCUUUACACAUGCAAGUCGAACGGUAACAGGCCGCAAGGUGCUGACGAGUGGCGAACGGGUGAGUAAUGCAUCGGAACGUGCCCAGUCGUGGAGGAUAACGCAGCGAAAGCUGCGCUAAUACCGCAUACGAUCUAUGGAUGAAAGCGGGGGACCGUAAGGCCUCGCGCGAUUGGAGCGGCCGAUGUCAGAUUAGGUAGUUGGUGGGGUAAAGGCUCACCAAGCCAACGAUCUGUAGCUGGUCUGAGAGGAUGACCAGCCACACUGGGACUGAGACACGGCCCAGACUCCUACGGGAGGCAGCAGUGGGGAAUUUUGGACAAUGGGCGCAAGCCUGAUCCAGCAAUGCCGCGUGCAGGAAGAAGGCCUUCGGGUUGUAAACUGCUUUUGUACGGAACGAAACGGCUCUGGUUAAUACCUGGGGCUAAUGACGGUACCGUAAGAAUAAGCACCGGCUAACUACGUGCCAGCCGCCGCAGUAACAC
rnacentral:rRNA from 1 species